rnacentral:rRNA from 1 species
CCUACGGGCGGCUGCAGUGAGGAAUAUUGGUCAAUGGGCGCGAGCCUGAACCAGCCAAGUCGCGUGAGGGAGGACGGCCCUACGGGUUGUAAACCUCUUUUGCCGGGGAGCAACGGGCGCCACGUGUGGCUUCUCUGAGAGUACCCGGAGAAAAAGCCUCGGCUAACUCCUUGCCAGCAGCCGCGGUAAUACGGAGGAUGCGAGCGUUAUCCGGAUUUAUUGGGUUUAAAGGGUGCGUAGGCGGACCGUUAAGUCAGUGGUAAAAUUGAGGGGCUCAACCCCUUCCCGCCAUUGAAACUGGCGUUCUUGAGUGGAAGAGAAGUAGGCGGAAUGCGUGGUGUAGCGGUGAAAUGCAUAGAUAUCACGCAGAACCCCGAUUGCGAAGGCAGCAUGCCGGCGUCCGACUGACGCUGAAGCACGAAAGCGUGGGGAUCGGACAGGAUUAGAUACCCGUGUAGUC